UGGCCGGCCUGGGGCUCUCUGGCUGUUGCGGGGCUGCGGCUCCCAGCAUGCCCAGACUGCCUACAGCUAUCGGCCUCUGGCUGGGCAUGGUGGGGUUUGUGGUUUUGCGGCAGCUGGACAGCUGGGGAGCCGUAGGAUGGCCACCCCUGCCA